rnacentral:rRNA from 1 species
UACAGAGGUCCCGAGCGUUGUUCGGAUUCAUUGGGCGUAAAGGGUGCGUAGGCGGCCUGUUAAGUCAGGGGUGAAAGACGGUAGCUCAACUAUCGCAGUGCCCUUGAUACUGAUGGGCUUGAAUGGACUAGAGGUAGGCGGAAUGAGACAAGUAGCGGUGAAAUGCAUAGAUAUGUCUCAGAACACCGAUUGCGAAGGCAGCUUACUAUGGUCUUAUUGACGCUGAGGCACGAAAGCGUGGGGAUCAAACAGG